UGGAGGACCGAACCGACUACCUUUGAAAAGUUAGCGGAUGACCUGUGGAUCGGAGUGAAAGGCUAAUCAAGCUCGGAGAUAGCUGGUUCUCCUCGAAAGCUAUUUAGGUAGCGCCUCAUGUAUCACUGUAGGGGGUAGAGCACUGUUUCGGCUAGGGGGUCAUCCCGACUUACCAAACCGAUGCAAACUCCGAAUACCUACAAGUGCCGAGCAUGGGAGACACACGGCGGGUGCUAACGU
rnacentral:rRNA from 17 species